GCUCCCGUGGUGUAGCCCGGACAAUCAUUCGGCCCUCUCGAGGCCGAGACCCGAGUUCAAAGAAGCUAAAAGCUAUUUUAGCAUUGGAAGUCUCGGCGGGAGCA
rnacentral:tRNA from 1 species